AUAAAUGCGAUUAGUUGUUCCCGAAUUGUUGAAUAAACUUGUCAAUAUGAGUUCCGGGGUAUUUUGGGGACUGAUCCUCGUAAUUUUCUUUGUUGCCCAGGCAAACGCGGACUGCGUACACGAAGGGACAAUUUUGAAAACUGGGGAGAAGAUCCCCGUUGUUUGCGGCAUUGAUACAUGUCAGGAAGAUGGCAGUGUAUCGGGGGUCGGAUGCGGAGUCUACCGUUGUGCCCCGGGGAAGGAAAUUGAUUACAUUUACGGAGACAAAACAAAAGUUUAUCCGGAUUGUUGUGACCACCCUAUCUGCGCCAGCGACUGAAUCCCUUGUCAACCCCUUCAACAGACCCAUUCUCCCAAAUCAAUGUUUAUAAAGAGCAGUUUAGAAGAAUGAAGCAGUGUUAUUACUACCCUAAACCAAAAUAUUGUCCCCCGAUAAAGAUAACAUUAUCAUAAACCAUAUCAGGCCGAAAGUCACGUUUUUAUCAUAAAAAAAUAUUAUAAUCACUUUAUUUCUCCUGCCUUAUCAAAUGGAAUUUGCAUUAAAAAAUGAAAGAUCAUUGAGAAUGUUGAGAUUACAGCAUAAUGCAUGUCGAUUAUAUUAUUCAACGAAUGAUUGAAAUACAAUUCAUCGUGCAUUGCGUAUUCAUCAAUCGCUGAUCUCAACUGGAAUCAAUUAAAAUUAUUUUUAAA